GCCGUCAUCGACCAGUAGCAGGUCACCUGCUUUGAAAUUAUAUGGGUAACCCGCAAAUGAGACGGAUACGGCGGUUCGAAUCCUCCUGACGGCA